GGAAUCCAGAGUAGAAAGCCAAAUCUCGCGAGAUUUCAUUUGGAAAAGCCGCGUUGCGUCUAUCGCGACGCAAAAUGUUGCGUGUCUUCGAAGCAUGCCGGGAACUGUAGUUCAGCUGUUCCCAUUGCAUAGCACUCGCACACACUUCUCAUACAAGCGAGACAACAACUUCCAGAAUGAAUUGCGAGCUGAUGUUGCUGCAUUUUCUUUCCCGUUUCCCCUCACAGAGGAAAGAACGGGGAAUUUUAUUCCUAGAGGGACUUUCCAUAAAGCCCAAAGGGAAAGUUUGGCUGGGAGUGGAGCAUAUCUUUCGUUGCGCUGCAGACGGUGGAUUUUGGGGAAAGUUAAGUUGUUCCUGACACGGUUUCCAUGUAGUUUGACCUAGAAAGCCUUAAACAGCUCAGGAUUUCAAGACCUCAAGGACCACCUUUCCCCAUAUUAACUGACCCGGACCCUGAGAUCAUCCUCUGAGGUCCUUCUUCACGUGCCUCCUCCAUGAGGGUGACAACACAAGAACGAGCCUUUUCUGCCAUGGCUCCUGAUGAGUGGAAUGCUCUCCUCAGGGAGGUUCAGCUGCCGCCUUCAUUAUACACCUUUAAGCGCUUUAGACGUUCCUCUUUAACUAGGCCUUUCACUGAUUGACAUCCAACGACCUUUUAAAAUAUGUUCAGGGUGGGGAAUAUUGGGUUGUUCUUGCUUCUAUUUUUAUUAUGUCCUUUGUGUUUUUAUAUUGUGAUUUUAUGUAUACCUACCAGUAUAUUAUUCAUCUCUAUCCUGGACUGCUGAUCUUCAAACAUUUAAAUUUUUUGAAAUUGGCCAGAACCGGCGAUUAUGGCACUGUUGCCAGGAAAUGCAGGGCAAGCAAUGCAGAAAGGUGGCCUUCACCAGCCACAUCACCAACUGCCCCACAAGCCAGUCCUCCAACAAGUGAGUUGAUAGCCAUGUUGCCAAUCCCCACAUGAACAGGUGGCACUGCAAUUGCAUUCCAGGUUAGAAGAACCUCCAAGAAAAUAAGCCUUGAAAAGACAGAAGGGCAAAUGGGAAUAUUAGAAUGUAAGAAUAUUGACGUAACGUUAUCUAGAGUCUCUGUAAUAACCUAAUGAACUCAAUUCUGGAGCAUAGGGCUACAAAUACGAAAGCAAAGACUACACCACGCAAGUCUUCCUCAUUGCAAAAUGUCUAGUAAACCUUUCACAUCCGUUCUUACCAUAUACCUGAGCGGGGAAGCAGAUCAAGAGUUUGGAAUGCAUGGUGCAUGAGGAAAAGCUGGAGCCACUAGCCAUAUUUGGCCAAGGAAGAGAUGAUUAAGACGAUGACAGAAGCUUUCAAAUAUUUAAGAAGCUAAACAAGAGAAGGAAUAACGUCAGUUUUCCAAGCCUAGCAACUAAUUUCUGUGGGAAAUUGUCAUAAUAGAAUCUCAGCUGGUAUCACAAGCAAAAGUUUCAUUUGCGCUGCUAUGGGAUUUGUUGUUUUUAAUGUUCCAUAAUGACUCAGCCUUGUCCAUUCAUAUUUUACUCUGUUAGUCUGAUUCUGUGCAUGUUCACUCAAACAUUAAACAUUCUCGCUGCUGUUGCAGUUUAUAAGAAUAUCUUUCCUUUUUCCUUUGAAAACUCUGGUCCCAAUAUCCCCAAGAGGAAGGCUUCUGGUUCUUUUGUAAAAGUUUGUUUGAAGAAAAAUUUAUUUCUUUGUA